GUGGCGUGUGCAGUAGUGGGUUGUCUUGGUGGGCACCGCGAUGAGAGUUGGACCAAUCUCGUCUGGGGUGGGUAGCCUUCGUAUUUUCGUUGCCACCAGUGCCCGCGGUGCAAUGCGGGCCUGGCUGGCAGGCUCGGGGGAAAGGACCCAUCUGUUGUAUGAGAUUAUUUCAAACCACAGACAACACAGGAUGUCACCUGUUUCGAGAGACUCAGGGUAGGAGGCAUUACGAGCAGGAAGGAUUUUGGUCUGAUGUUUGGUAAUGCUGCUACAAAGUUGCUGGAGAGGUGGCCUACUGUCUACAAGCAGAAAGUCCUGGAACAAAGCUGUGGCCUCACACAGACAGCCGACCUUCAAGAACUGCUUCAAAAUGCUCAAUGCUCAACGGAAGUGGAAGGCUGGGACAGUGACACGUCAUCUGUUUUGGUUCUUGUCCACCUUCUACCUUCAUCACCAAAUGGCCGCAAGAGACCAGGAAAACUUUCAGCCAGACAAGCCAGUAACCAUCUCGUGAAAUUUGUUAUGACCGGGACGAGCAUCCAGGAGCAUCUGGACAGCAUCACUAAAAGUCUUCAACCCUACCUGCUAGAUGUGGGGACCCAGAAGAGUCUGAUUCACAAGUACUACAUUGUGAUUGACAAACAUGUAAUACCGUGUAAGUCAGCAGACACACUUUCCAGUUUUGAUGAGCUUUUCAAAGCUCAUUUUGUCUUUGGUACGUCGUACAACCAGGAUCUGGUAAACGUGUACAACUUCUUGCAAACCACAAUUUAUGAAAUGGAUGAUGAUACCACGAAGGUGAAUCCAAGAGUUGCAGAGUUGAGAGCUCGGAUGCUUCAUUACAUUGAUACAAAGCUGGUUGGUCUCAAAAGCCUUGAGGCUUCAUUGAGUUGAAAUUAAGAAGUUGUGUUUUUUUUUGCAAAAGUCUCCAUGCAAAUGCUAAUUCCCUAACAAAACACUUGAAGUUGAUACACAGACUUUGUUCAGGAAAGACCCGUCGUCUUAAAUGUGGUUGGGCUGGUUGUUCAGAAGUUUAUGGCACUUUUUCUGGGUUUCGAAAGCAUCUUAAUAAAAGCACAUGAACAGUGUUCUCAUCCUGGUGAAGGCCCAUCUACAUCUGAUCAUUUAGCCGCAAGUCAUUUUGAUGAAUUGGCAGCAAAAAGUUCACUUUCUGAUUCAGUCCUAAAAAGGAGUCUCGUAGACAGCUGUGCUGCAACAGUAGCCGAACUUAAAGUGGCAGGCGUACAAGAAACCACCAUUAACUCUUUGGUCAUUUCAAUGGGAGAUUAUUGAUGAUAUCCAUAACCCGGCAAACAAAUCUGUGAAGAAGUGUCUGUCUUUACCAGAGCCUAUGAAAAGUGAGAUUGAGAGCAAAAUUGAUUAGUGUUUUGAAAAAAUGGAAAAUCCUUUUGGUGUGUUAAAUUCUGAGAGGAAAAAGAAGCACUUUUUUACACAAAAGUGGGGAGGGGUGUGAUUGCCGAUGUGCUGGUAGUUAUUUGUGAUGGCAUUCUUCUACUGUUGGACAGUACAAUGUUGAGUUAAACAUGAUAUGGAUGUUUUUUUGAUUUAUUGUGAAAUAAACCCCUCUUGUGGUGACGAAGUCCUUCUUUUAUAGUUUAUU
ensembl:lncRNA